rnacentral:rRNA from 1 species
UGGGGAAUAUUGCACAAUGGGCGCAAGCCUGAUGCAGCCAUGCCGCGUGUAUGAUGAAGGCCUUCGGGUUGUAAAGUACUUUCAGCGGGGAGGAAGGCGAUAAGGUUAAUAACCUUGUCGAUUGACGUUACCCGCAGAAGAAGCACCGGCUAACUCCGUGCCAGCAGCCGCGGUAAUACGGAGGGUGCAAGCGUUAAUCGGAAUUACUGGGCGUAAAGCGCACGCAGGCGGUCUGUCAAGUCGGAUGUGAAAUCCCCGGGCUCAACCUGGGAACUGCAUUCGAAACUGGCAGGCUAGAGUCUUGUAGAGGGGGGUAGAAUUCCAGGUGUAGCGGUGAAAUGCGUAGAGAUCUGGAGGAAUACCGGUGGCGAAGGCGGCCCCCUGGACAAAGACUGACGCUCAGGUGCGAAAGCGUGGGGAGCAAACA